CCUACGGGAGGCAGCAGUGAGGAAUAUUGGUCAAUGGCCGCAAGGCUGAACCAGCCAAGUCGCGUGAAGGACGACUGCCCUAGGGGUUGUAAACUUCUUUUAUAAGGGAAGAAAAAAUGCUACGUGUGUCAUGAUGCCUGUACCUUAUGAAUAAGCAUCGGCUAACUCCGUGCCAGCAGCCGCGGUAAUACGGAGGGUGCGAGCGUUAUCCGGAUUUAUUGGGUUUAAAGGGAGGGUAGAUGGGUUGUGAAGUCUGGUGUUAAACGUUGGGGGUUAACCCUUGAAUUGCAAUUGAUACUGGAAGACUUGAGUUCAGACGAGGUAGGCGGAAUUAGUAGAGUAGCGGUGAAAUGCUUAGAUAUAACGAAGAACUCCGAUAGCGAAGGCAGCUUACUAGACUGCAACUGACGUUGAGGCACGAGAGCGUGGGUAGCAAACAGGAUUAGAUACCCGUGUAGUC
rnacentral:rRNA from 1 species